UUUUGGGGUCUGGCCGACUCAAAGCUAGCUGUUUCGCUCUAUUCAUCUCAAGGAAAAAUGGUUUUAUACCAUUUCAAUCAAGUCGCUUCUCACAAACCCUAAUCGUACAUUUUAUAUUCUCAGGCAAAGCGGAUUUGGAUCAAAGAGAAGAAGUGAGAUCCCCCCCGGCGCUCAAUUUGUUCAAUAUAAUUUAAAAUGGCUGGGAGAAACCGCAUUCCUCGCGAGGCCUUCAAUGAGCGGCGUGGAUUUCCUCCUGAAAGACCUUUCCACCGUGGUCCUCCUCUGCCACAGCGACCUCCUCAUCCUGCGAUAUUGGAGGAAGAGCUUGAAAUGCAACAUGCAGAAAUUCGGAGGCUUUUGAGUGAUAACAGCAGGCUAGCAGAAGAUCGAAUGGCUAUACAACAAGAGCUUGGUGCUGCAAAAGAUGAAAUUCACCAUUUGAAUCUUGUUAUUGGUGACAUUCGUGCUGAGCAAGAACUGCACUCGAGGGCACUUAUUGACAGAGGCUUAAAGAUGGAGGCAGAUCUCCGUGCAACUGAGCCACUGAAGAAGGAGGCUGGGCAACUCCGUGCAGAAGUUCAAAAAUUGAAUAAUGUUAAGCAAGAACUAACUGGCCAAGUUCAGACUCUCAAGCAAGAUGUGGCCAGGAUGCAAGCAGAUAAUCAACAGAUAUCUGUUCUAAGAGCAGAAAUUGAUGGCCUGCACCAGGAGUUGAUGCGUGCAAGAAAUGCCAUUGAUUAUGAAAAGAAGGCAAAUAUUGAGCUGAUGGAGCAGAGACAGGCAAUGGAGAAGAACAUGGUUUCCAUGGCACGUGAAGUUGAAAAGCUACGUGCAGAACUUUCCGUUGUGGAUGGUAGACCUUGGGCUGCUGGUGGACCAUAUGGAAUGAAAUUCAACAGUUCAGAGGGGGCUUUUCCUGCAUCAUAUGAAGGAUAUGGGGCUCAUCUGGCUGCUCCUGAUAAGGGUCCUUUUCAUGGUCCUCAUCCUGGGACUUGGGAGAAGCCUCGCACUACACGUCGCUAGGAGCCUAGGAGAGUUUUUGCUUGACGGAAGAAAGGCGAAAUUGUUGCUCCAUUUUGGAAAUGCAAAAUAUUGGACAACAUGGAGUUCAUCCUCUAUGUUUGCCUGCCAAAUCAAUGAGAACCUGCAUGCAUCAUGCAAUAAGGUGAAGAAAGAAGAUCAUGUAUAUAUCUUACAUGAGAUUGAGGAAAUAUAAAUGAAUGAGGUAAAGUUGCAUACAUGCAUGUUCUAGACAAAACAUGGAAGAAAA